CCCCCACCCACGUCCGUUCAUGAUUUCACGCACGCGAAUCUCUUCCUUCCUCUCAACCGUCUUCCCUUGCUGCAAACGCUGCUCCUUCUUCGUUGUUGCUCCAGUCACCGAUCAACUUUUCUGUUAUUUGCUGAGGGAAUUUUCAUGCGAUUUUUGGACGAUUUUUUCCGGUGAAUUUCCGGCGGAUUUGUUGGAACCACUUAUGAAGUCACAAUGGAUCAGGAAAUUAUUGCUUUUCAAGCUUGCAAGUGCCGUGGCUUUAAUAUGAUCUGUGCUUGUAUCAGUUGUUUAUAUGGGCCUGAGUUCUGAUACAUAAAAGGAAAACAGUGGAAGAGAAGAAGCAUCCCCGGGUUUAUACGGAUUUUUCUAUCCAUAAUAAACGUGUUCUAAAGUUGAUUUUUGAGUUAUUCGAUGAGAUUUUCCCCUACGCUGCAGAGAAUUUUCGUGCGCUAUGAGAGAAGGGAAUCAGUAGCAAAUUAAAAGUGCCACUGCACUACAAGGGUACUUCCUUCUAUCACAUUGUGAAAGGUGGCUCCUUUGUGAAGGGGGGCACUUUAUGGGAUUCAUUCGAGCUUGGAGAUAGCAUAUAUGGUUCUCAGUUCCCAAGUUUUCAAAUCUUAUGGCUUUUGGAGGUGGAAGAGAUAUGAUAGAAGUUCCAAUUAAUUUAAUUGUUGAUAAAAAUGACUGGAUUGUUAAGAGUUUAAAUAUUUGUCAUGGUACAUUAGGAGAAGAAAAUAUUAGCAUAAAAUUUUUGGAAAAUGAUGGGGAUGAAGAACAUAUUGAAAAUUUGAAAAUGUGUCAAAAUCAUAUUAACAUCAUCUCUUAUUAUACCCAUGUGCUUCAUAAUGGUUCCAAGUAUUUAAUAAUGAAACCAUUUAAAUACACGUUGGGUGAUUUUCUUAAAGAAUAUGACGAUCAUGGGGAGAAAAGGGGAGAGUUUUGGGAAGAUGGUAGUAAUUACCCUACCCUUCGAUUGUUAUAUUUAAUGAGGUAUAUGAAAUUUUUUUUAAUUAUUUUUAGUUUUCAUUUUAUGUAUUUAUUUAUAUUAAAUUAUUGAUUUUCAUUUUUCCUUUUGAUGGCCCAGAGAUAUUGUUCAUGGGGAUUUCUACAUGGGUAAAUUGAAAAUAAUUCAUGAAACUUUGACGCCAAAUCACAUCAUGAUAAUACCAUCAAGUCAAUCAAACACGAAUAGGAGUUUCAUAGCAAAAAUAUGUGACAUGAAGACAUCAAGGAUGGCAAGAAUGAGCUCAAAAAGGAGAAAAAUAUUCCCCAUGAUGAUGAUUGGCCUUCACCUGAACAAUUAAAUCAGAUAACCCAAACAUUAAUGAUGGAUGUGUUCAACCUCGGCUGUAUUUUAUUUUAUUGCCUCACUCGAGAGCAUCCAUUUGAGAAUCAGCGGAUAUAUAUCUGCCGAGGUAAUAUAAGGCAUAUGCAGCUUCUGCCUGACUUUCCAGUGUUGAAGAAUUUACUUCUUGCGAUGCUAAAACCUGCUCUUAAGGAUAGGAUCAAACCUAUGGACGUGGUCUUCCAUCCUUUGUUUUGGAGUCCCCACAGAAAGCUUGCUUUUCUGAUUCAUGCGAGCGAUUAUAUACAAGCUAAGAGACAAAUGAUGACAAAGUUCUUCAUAAACAUGAGAACAACAAAAAUAAUCAACGGAAAUUGGCUCGCAAAGAUACAAAAUAAUGAAAUGCAUAAGGCAGUCAUAGGAUUGGAUGGCAAAUAUGCUUACGAUAGUGUCCUUGAGUUGGUCAGAGCGAUUAGAAAUCUAGCUAUCCACGAGGCAAACUGGAAACCAUCAUUUAAGGCAGCUUUCUCGUACCCAGUAGGAUUUGAGGGAUAUUUCAAGACAGUCUUUCCAGAUUUAUUUCUUGAUGUUUAUAAAUCGAUUCAAAAAAACUGCUUAUGCGAGACACGGUUUAACUCUUAUUUCAGAGAGCAUUUUGAAGCUGACAAAUUUCUUUGAGAAGAAAAUGGUUAAAAUAGCCUGUUGAGCUUGUGGCUUUCUAGUUGGAGCAUGUUGCUUUUGUAUGGGUUAUGCAUUGAUUGAAUAUCAGCUUGUUGAGGAAGCAGGAAAUACAAUAGAGUAUUUGAAUGGAUCUGAACUUAUUCAAAUCAUCUAUGUUGACAGGGCUUUCAGCAAUGGACCUAUUAAUGGUGCAAUGAGAAGAAAGAAUGCUAGGCAUCCAUGCUGGACUUUUAACUGUUGAUUAAUAUUUGACAGAUCAUUUAGCCCUUUGAUAUUACAAUGGUGUUAAUAGUUUAAUACUGGUUACUCAAACCAUUUAUGUUGCCGUGGUGUGGUGUGCAGUGCAGUGCUUGGAUGAUUUUUUACACCUUAAUGAGCAAAGUUGGUUUAUUUGGUCAAA